AAUGAACGCUGGCGGCGUGCCUUACACAUGCAAGUCGAGCGAGGCGGCCCGCAAGGGUCAGUCGAGCGGCGAACGGGUGAGUAACGCGUGGAUAACCUGCCCAGAGGUGGGGGAUAACCCGGGGAAACUCGGGCUAAUACCGCAUGAUACCGAAAGGUCAAAGGGGGCUCGCAAGAGCUCUCGCCAUAGGAGGGGUCCGCGUCCGAUUAGCUAGUUGGUAGGGUAAUGGCCUACCAAGGCGACGAUCGGUAGCCGGCCUGAGAGGGUGAU
rnacentral:rRNA from 1 species